rnacentral:rRNA from 1 species
AACGAACGCUGGCGGCAUGCCUAACACAUGCAAGUCGAACGAGACCUUCGGGUCUAGUGGCGCACGGGUGCGUAACGCGUGGGAACCUGCCCUUAGGUUCGGAAUAACUCCCCGAAAGGGGUGCUAAUACCGGAUAAUGUCUUCGGACCAAAGAUUUAUCGCCUUUGGAUGGGCCCGCGUUGGAUUAGCUAGUUGGUAGGGUAAAAGCCUACCAAGGCGACGAUCCAUAGCUGGUCUGAGAGGAUGAUCAGCCACACUGGGACUGGGACACGGCCCAGACUCCUACGGGAGGCAGCAGUGGGGAAUAUUGGAAAAUGGGCGAAAGCCUGAUCCAGCAAUGCCGCGUGAGUGAUGAAGGCCUUAGGGUUGUAAAGCUCUUUUACCCGGGAUGAUAAUGACAGUACCGGGAGAAUAAGCUCCGGCUAACUCCGUG